CCAGUUGCUGGACAUAGAGCUGGCGUUUGCUGGAAGCGCCGUCUUUCGGCGCUUCUGCACCCAUGUUGCUUCAAGGAGGAUAUGGCUAUGGCAA
rnacentral:sRNA from 1 species